rnacentral:rRNA from 1 species
UCAGUUGCUUCAAGCUUUGACUGUGUGUGCUUUGUAAGCAUAGCCCUUGCAGAGGUGCAGUUUACACACUGAUAUGGAACACUCCAUACAUCAAAACAGUUAUCACAUUCAUCAUUAUUAUCAGCUGGAGUAUUAUCUAAAGUCCUUACAAUACGACAUUCAUAAGGAUUGACAAGUCUUACAACAUCAAAAGAGCAGGCUAACAUAUUCAGUUCUACCGCUGAAAGAUGGGCUCGCGUCUGAUUAGCUAGUUGGUGGGGUAACGGCCUACCAAGGCGACGAUCAGUAGCCGGACUGAGAGGUUGAACGGCCACAUUGGGACUGAGAUACGGCCCAGACUCCUACGGGAGGCAGCAGUGGGGAAUAUUGGGCAAUGGGCGCAAGCCUGACCCAGCAACGCCGCGUGAAGGAAGAAGGCUUUCGGGUUGUAAACUUCUUUUAAGAGGGAAGAGCAGAAGACGGUACCUCUAGAAUAAGCCACGGCUAACUACGUGCCAGCAGCCGCGGUAAUACGUAGGUGGCAAGCGUUGUCCGGAAUUAUUGGGCGUAAAGCGCGCGCAGGCGGAUUGGUCAGUCUGUCUUAAAAGUUCGGGGCUUAACCCCGUGAUGGGAUGGAAACUGCCAAUCUAGAGUAUCGGAGAGGAAAGUGGAAUUCCUAGUGUAGCGGUGAAAUGCGUAGAUAUUAGGAAGAACACCAGUGGCGAAGGCGACUUUCUGGACGAAAACUGACGCUGAGGCGCGAAAGCCAGGGGAGCGAACGGGAUUAGAUACCCCGGUAGUCCUGGCCGUAAACGAUGGGUACUAGGUGUAGGAGGUAUCGACCCCUUCUGUGCCGGAGUUAACGCAAUAAGUACCCCGCCUGGGGAGUACGACCGCAAGGUUGAAACUCAAAGGAAUUGACGGGGGCCCG